rnacentral:ncRNA from 2 species
UACGGCCGUUCGUUCGCCGGUGCCCUUCGGGGCCGAAGAGGGAACACAGGGCGCCCCGCGCGCCGCUGUGGCUGCCCCCGCAACUGUAGACAGCGAGCCGAUCUCCCUCCUCAUGCCACUGGUUUCACCGGGAAGGCCGGGAGUCGGCGCCGACCUGUCAGCCAGGAGACCUGCCGGCCAGAAAGUGCGUGCG